GGGGGAAUAUUGCACAAUGGGCGCAAGCCUGAUGCAGCCAUGCCGCGUGUAUGAAGAAGGCCUUCGGGUUGUAAAGUACUUUCAGCGGGGAGGAAGGUGUUGAGGUUAAUAACCUCAGCAAUUGACGUUACCCGCAGAAGAAGCACCGGCUAACUCCGUGCCAGCAGCCGCGGUAAUACGGAGGGUGCAAGCGUUAAUCGGAAUUACUGGGCGUAAAGCGCACGCAGGCGGUCUGUCAAGUCGGAUGUGAAAUCCCCGGGCUCAACCUGGGAACUGCAUUCGAAACUGGCAGGCUAGAGUCUUGUAGAGGGGGGUAGAAUUCCAGGUGUAGCGGUGAAAUGCGUAGAGAUCUGGAGGAAUACCGGUGGCGAAGGCGGCCCCCUGGACAAAGACUGACGCUCAGGUGCGAAAGCGUGGGGAGCAAACA
rnacentral:rRNA from 1 species